AUUGAACGCUAGCGGCAUGCCUUACACAUGCAAGUCGAACGGAGUGGCGAACGGGUGAGUAAUGUAUCGGAACGUGCCCAGUAGCGGGGGAUAACUACGCGAAGGCGUAGCUAAUACCGCAUACUUGUUGCUGGGCCGUUAUCGGAUUAGCUAGUUGGUGUGGUAACGGCUUACCAAGGCGACGAGCCGUAGCUGGUUUGAGAGGACGACCAGCCACACUGGAACUGAGACACGGCCCAGACUCCUACGGGAGGCAGCAGUGGGGAAUUUUGGACAAUGGGGGAAACCCUGAUGCAGCAAUCCCGCGUGUGUGAUGAAGGCCUUCGGGUUGUAAAGCACUUUUGGCAGGAAAGCGGUACCUGCAGAGUAAGCACCGGCUAACUACGUGCCAGCAGCCGCGGUAAUUC
rnacentral:rRNA from 1 species